AAGUGCGAGGAAGGCAUUGCUUGUAAAUAUCCAGCAGACGCCUCCUAGAACACCCUUGGCUCAGGUGGGUCUCCUGUCCACGCUUGACUCAAUCACAGUCCAGGAAGAUGGGAUUCACUUUGAGCAGCUCCAGAGCUGGAGUGCAGCCAGUGUCUCUGAGGCCCUUGAGAUGCAGAGGGCAGCAGGAGGCUCCUGAACAAGUCCAGGACUCUCAGGAAUGAGGAUGUAGUGGAGGAAUGGAUGCUGGCUGUGCCAUCAACGAUAUCCCACACCUGUGCAGUCACAGAGACGUCUCAGGCAGCAUCUAAGUGCAUUUCAUGUGUGUGUUGGGUGGAAUUGGUCAGGAUGCCAAAUGAAUUUAACAUAGUAUUGAAUCGAUCUUUCCUCCUCCAAGACAGAGUUCCUUAAAGAAUGUGCAAAAGGAUGAAAACCUCACAAACUAGAACAGCGCAUGACAUGUGGUGGGAAAUCCCGCAGACUCAUGCUAAUUGCCACUUGGACUUGGCAUUUCCAUGAACCUUUAACAAAUGGUAACUCAGACAUUUGCUACUUUGUAGGGGCCACGCAGUCACUGUAUCUCCUGCUGAACCCACCUGCUGAAAACUUCCUCCUACCCUCCAAGGGUAAAAAAAACUCCAAAGAUGGAUUCAUCCGUUUUGUCAGCAGACACGCUGAGGAUGUGGAGGUGAAAAUAAAGCCAAGCCUGGUUUUGUAGGAAGCAUGUAAACCAGAGCAACUCCAUCUUAGAUAGGAGCUAUCUAAAAUGAGGCUGAGACCUACUGGGUUGCAUUCCCAGAGGGUCAGGCAUUCGAAGUCACAGGAUCAGAUAGGAGGUUGGCACGAGAUACAGGUCAUAAAGACCUUGCUGAUAAAACAGGUUGCAGUAAAGAAGCCAGCCAAAACCCACCAAAACUAAAAUGGUGACAAGUGACCUCUGGUUGUCAUCACUGCUACACUCCCACCAGCACCAUGACAAUUUAUAAAUGCCAUGGCAACAUCAGGAAGUUACCCUGUAUGGGCUAGAAAGGGGAAGCAUGAAUAACCCACCUCACAUGUGGUAUAUCAUCAAGAAACAACCAUAAAAAUAGGCAACCAGCAGCCUUCGGGGCUUCUCUACCUAUGGAGCAGCCAUUCUUUCAUUCCUUUACUUUUCUAAUAAACGUGCUUUCACUUUAUGGACUUGCCCUGAAUUCUUUUUUGU
rnacentral:lncRNA from 1 species